GUGCAGCAGUCGCGAAUAGUCUACAAUGGACGAAAGUCUGAUAGUGCGACGCCGUGUGUGCGAUUAAUUCCUUCGGGAUGUAAAGCACUUUUCUAUGAGAUAAAAGCUCUUUAGGUUAAUAGCUUAUUGAGACGGAUAUUAUUAUAGGAAUAAGCUCCGGCUAACUCCGUGCCAGCAGCCGCGGUAAUACGGAAGGAGCGAGCGUUGUCCGGAUUUACUAGGCGUAAAGGGCUAGUAGGCGACUAAUUAAGUUAUAUGUUAAAUCCCACGGCUCAACUGUGGUCCUGCAUGUAAUACUGGUUAGAUAGAGUACUGUAGAGGAAGGCAGAAUUCCUGGAGUAGCGGUGGAAUGCGCAGAUAUCAGGAAGAAUACCAAAAGCGAAGGCAGCCUUCUGGGCAGUUGCUGACGCUGAAUAGCGAAGGUGUGGGUAGCGAACA
rnacentral:rRNA from 1 species